rnacentral:rRNA from 1 species
GAUUGGAAGUAAAAGUCGUAACAAGGUUUCCGUAGGUGAACCUGCGGAAGGAUCAUUAUUGAAUGAACUUGGUGUGGUUGUCGCUGGCCCUCUUGGGGGCAUGUGCACACCUACCAUCCUCAUCUCUCCACCUGUGCACCUCUUGUAGAUUUGGAAUUGAUUAUCCGAGGCAACUCGGUCGUGAGGACUGCUAGCACUUAGCUGGCUUUCUUUGCAAUUCCAGGUCUAUGUUUUUCAUAUACCCCAUUGUAUGUAACAGAAUGUAUCAUUGGGCCUUGUGCCUAUAAACCUUAUACAACUUUCAGCAACGGAUCUCUUGGCUCUCGCAUCGAUGAAGAACGCAGCGAAAUGCGAUAAGUAAUGUGAAUUGCAGAAUUCAGUGAAUCAUCGAAUCUUUGAACGCACCUUGCGCUCCUUGGUAUUCCGAGGAGCAUGCCUGUUUGAGUGUCAUUAAAUUCUCAACCAUUAUCAACUUUUGCUGAUAAUGGCUUGGAUGUGGGGGUCUAUUUUGCUGGCUUCUCAGAUAGUCAGCUCCCCUUAAAUGCAUUAGCCGGUGCCCCGCGUGGACUGUCUAUUGGUGUGAUAAUUAUCUACGCUAUAGACAUCUGCAAUCAUAUGGGUUUGCGCUGCUUCUAACAGUCUGUUGAUUCAGACAAUACAUGACAAUUUGACCUCAAAUCAGGUAGGACUACCCGCUGAACUUAAGCAUAUCAAUAAGCGGAGGAGCAUAUCAAUAAGCGGAGGAAUCU